CUUGAGGGGAAUGCAGUGUGGUCCAAGGAGAUGAUAUAUCACUUCACCAUACUCAUAUCUUCACAAACUCAUCAGAUUCAGAUGUAAUAAUAAUUUGUAAUAUAUGCAUAUUAUGUCUCCUCGGACCAGGCUUCAUUCCCUUCAAU
rfam:Glycine soja cultivar W05 scaffold1634_9, whole genome shotgun sequence.